rnacentral:lncRNA from 1 species
AUGUACCAGCUGUUAUGCCAGAGACAACCCUCAGAUCACUUGAGACUUGCUUCUUGUUGCCUCCUCUUUGAUCUUGGCAGCAGAGGGCCUUGCCAGUCUCUGUCUUCACAGUCCCCAGUCUCUUGUUCAGAUGUGCAGAGAAGAUAUACCUCUGGGCCUAGUCUUUCUCAUGAUGCUUCCCUCGCUUGUUGGGAUAUACCGAAGAGGAUGACUCAAUGCCGAAUCCAGGUGGUGUCUAGGAUACGAAAGGAAAAACACUGGAGUAAAACAGUCUCAAGCCCACCUGAUGUCCUCCCAAUCCUAGCACUUUAAAGAUGUUGUUCCUCUGUCUUCUAGCUUGCACUGUUUCCAAAGGAACACAAAUGGACUAAGACAGUGCCCAAGAAAGACAUUAGGGGAAGAGUACCAACUGAGAAUACAUUCCAAAGAUGCUGUCUCCAGCACUGCAUGGGACAAGGAUGAAGCCUCAUCAGCCAGCUAAAUUGCAACAAGUAUGUUCUAAAACUCCAUCCUAUUUUAAUUUUUCUAUUUUUAAUGCAGAGUUCAUCCAUACCAACUUUCUUAACCAUAAAGCCAUUCCAAGCAGUAACUUUUGUUUAAUUAGCACUUUGCAAAUUAGAACUUCAGUGUGAAAAGUAUUUUAAGCAUACUGAAUGGAACAAAGUAUAGUUUGAGAAUGUUAUCAAUCAUAUAGGAAUGGAUUAGACAGAACACUGUGAAAUCAACAAUGUGCUUUUAUUAAUAUUCCUCAAUCCCAGUCAUUAUCCAAGAAACCUGAUUUCUUCCUUCUUUUGUACAUUUUGACACUUGGGAUCAUCACUAAAGCCCCUUUCAAGCUUCAACAUUCUGUUUUUCCCAGACAUUUGCUAGUCUAGUCAAUUUAUUAAGAACUAAAAUAUAAAGAGGUAAAAUGUAAAAUAAUCCGAGUAGUAGAAAGAACACUGAAUUUGAGAAUCAGAAAAUCUCUUUCAGUCAAGAAUGUGUACAUCUGACUGUAAACUUGGGGCAUAAAUCAUUUUAACUUCUCUAGGUUCUAUUACUAUCACUAUUGGGGGGGUGAAUAAAUUAUAAGUCUAUACUCACCUAUGAUGUAAGAAUGAAUUAAGCAAUAUGGAAGCACUUUUGAAACAUAAAUUGCAAUUGCAAAUGCCCAAGGCCACAAAAGAAAUUACUAAAAUAGCUCAAAGGAAAUGUUUUAUAUCAAGGAUUCAAAACACAAGAAACAUCCCCAAAAUAUAACAUUCUAACUAAUUUUCUUAAUGAUUGAUCUUUUUUAAAAGUCACAUAAGAGUAAUAACUGAGGGAUGAUCUGCCACAUCUUGUGGCCUGUGGUGUGCUGUUCAGUGACAUCAUUGUGGCCAAUGAGGUACCAAAGAGCAGGCGAUCACAGUGACAUCAUGGCAGGAUCACUGAAAAUGCUCAUAAUGUGACAGCUCUUUAUCAUUUAUAUGCUAGGCUGGUUAUAAAGUAUUUAUUUGGUAUUGUUCACAUCUAUAUCAUUUGAUAAGGCAUUCUUGUCACCAUUAUUCAGUUUCUGAAUAUUCUUGGUGAAUGAUCUUCAGGGAGCCCUGGCUUCUGAUUGAGGGUUUCUAUCCUUUGUCAAGCCACCCUAUUCCCUCACUUUUCAACCACUUUAGCUAUGACUAACAGGAAGUUCAAAGCAAAAACCUAUUGAUUAAUCUUCAACUAGCAAUAGAUCAUAAAACACAUUUUGCAUGUACAUUUUUUGAUUCCCAUUCUCCUGACUAGAGCAAAUUGGCUGGAAAUAAAGACAUGUAAAACAUCUCAAGCAGUUGUAAUAAUUGAUCUAAGAGGAAAAACGUAAAAGAUGUAGAUACCUUGAUUGUCUCCUCUUCAUCCCAUUGGUGAGGGAGGGAUUCCACGCUAUGUUUAUGGGGAUGGCCCAACACAUGACACCUAAUACCGGACAGAUGAGAUUGAUAGUAGCGUACAGUCCAGGGGAGGAGAGGAAGAUACUGCACCAUGCAGGGAUGAAUGGGGGUGUGCUCAGGAACAGAGUGAAUAAGCAGACCUUGUAGAGAGCAGGCUUUAUAGUAGCAAGAGCAUGGAGUAACUUCUUGUUUCUACAGAUGGAUAUGAUAGGCUUGUUUGAAUAAUUCAGUGGGCUGGCAGGGAACUGAAGUCUACUACUCAGGGAUAAGCAGGCACUGUGCCUUGUCCCUGUAACAAGGAGGGUUGUUUGGCUAGGAGACCUUAUCAGUAGGAGCAAAGUGGGCAGGAUGAUACAGUUAGGACAUCAGAGGCCCUCCCAGUUUAGAUGUCAAAGUAGCACACCAUUGUAAUUUUAAGCCUUACACCACAAUCAACAUCAUAUAAAGACACUUACUGAUUUGGACCAGGAGGCACAUCUCCCGUAACUUCUAUCGUCCAUCACAUUUUACCCCUGCUCGUAAGUCACACAAUAAAGGAAAGUCUUAGACAGAAUUAGGAGUGCUAAAAGCAUUGUUGAGGCCAUUCCUAGCCUUCCUUCUUGUUCAGAAACUAUAGAUCUAAAGUCAAGGGACCCUCCUUGACAGCCUGCAGCUGGUGACUGCCCUGUCUCCAGCAAAGGUUUUUGUGACUGUUCAGACAGACGACUGUGACUCCCCACGAGCUCCCCUCACCUUAGGCAGGCCCACUUACAUUUACCAAGACAAGAUAACACAGUCAAUUAGCCUUGUCAGUCACUGUGACUAUAACUUAGAAGAAUAGAAGCCCAGUAACCACACUUAAUGAAAAUACAAGGUGACAAGAAAGUCAUCUGCAGCUGUCUACGGACAAGAAUUUGGGGAAAAUGUAUUAAGAACAGUUAUAAUUAGAGAUACACACAAAAACAGAUAUGCAAUAUGCUAUCUUAUAAUAAAAUUGACAUUAUAAUAUUUACUAUAUUUACAUACUGAAUACAUUUAAAACAAUACAAUUAAGCAAAAACACUUUUGUUGUUCUUUUCUGUUCAGUGAUACUGUCUUGGUUUUUUAUUAAAGUUUUAAAUGUUAAAUGAUGGCAUUUCAAAUAUACAGCCAAGUACCAAAAUUAUUAAUAGACACUCAUGUACCAAUCUACCAUAUUAACAGAUAUCAACAUUUUGCUUUACUUGCCUUAGAAUCAAUUUUCUCUGUUUUGAAAAACAGAAAGCAUUAAGCAUAGAUAAAGCACCCCCAUCUCAUCCUCUACCUCUCUCUCCAGAGGUAACCAUCACCCUGAAGUUAGUAUGUUUCUUUUCAUGUACGUACAUUUAAACUUUUGUUAAUAUUAUAUAGACAUGUCCAUAAAUGAUAUAUACUGUUAUUUUGUGUUCUUUAAAUAUUUAUACAAAUACUAGAAACCAUAUGGUACAUUUUCUUUUGUAACUUGCUUUUCUCACCAACAUGUUUUGACAUUUAUCUGUGUUAAUAUAUUUAGAUCAAGUUUGUUCAUUUUAACUUUCUGUAGUAUUUUAUUACAUGAAUAAAUGAGUUUAUUUACUCACUGGCUUACUGAGAACAGUGGUGUUUGUUUUUUGUUUGUUUCUGAAGCAACAGGAGAUACAACAGAAACAAUCUGUGCUGCAAGGAAGAUUUUGUCCAUGUCUCCACGGGCACAUAAUGUAAUAGCCACUGUAGGCAUUAGCCCUACAUUUGAUAGAUGGAAAAACAUUCGUUUUUGAUGGCUCAGCUUAGAUAAAUACGAUAUAUUCACUUUUGUUGUUGUUGUUGUUUUAACAAAUCUUCCUUUCAUGAUUCUUCUAAUAACAUUAAAAAGUUAAUUUUUCUUUCUUAUGGGAACAUGAAAUGCAAGUUCCCUGAUAAAUAAACACUAUUACCCAAAAUUCUUCAAAUGAAUUUAUGUCAUCUGUUUUAAUAUAUAAAUGUUGAUACCACUGACAUUUAAAAUAAAAUGUGGGUAGAAACAGGGCAUUUAACAUUAAUAUACCUCACACGUCUACCUAUGUUAACAAACCUGUACGUCCUGCACAUGUAUCCCAGAACUUAAGAUUAAGUUAAAUUAAAACAUUAAUACACCCAAUGUUUGCUGAUGGCUAGCUUACUUCCAGAAUAACUGCAGGUUCUCUAUUCCUCCACCUGGGCUUUGCACAGUUGUUUCCAUGAGUUCCUUGGGUGCCUGAGAUGCUCCAGUGAGCUGCUGCACAGUCCUCUCAUGGUGUCUGUGUCUGGCCUCCUCCUCAGUGUCUGCUUUCCCCAGGCCUGUGAGGUUUCAUCUCAUCCUUGUCUCAGAGCACCGUGGCCUCUGCAGCUGUAGAUGCCCCGGUCUAGAGUCCUGCUUCCUGGAUCUACUGUCCUCUCAACUUACGCUGGAGAGGAGCCAGCCCUGAGCCCUCACUGUGACUAAGCUGUGCUGAGUUCCAGGGAGAAGUGGAGGAAACAUUCCUCUUCCCAACUCAGCAUCACUUGGGCCUGAAUGUGGCACUCGUUAUGCCUAGACCCCACAAAAUAUGACAAAGCCUCUCAAAACCAGCCUGCUGGGCUUAUAGGUCUAGCCCGUCUCUCCACGGGGCUAGGUUGGGGAGCAGCCAAUGGUAACCAUUGUCCUUAUUCUCUUCACUGUCCUUUCUCUACCAAUGUACUUCACAGGCAUCCCUGCAUACAACUCCCUCUUGGCAGCCCCAUUCUCUACGCAAAUACUCAUGCAAAUACACUUCCGAGAGAGCCAGUCCCACAUAACCUGAUAGGUCAGGUCUAGAUUUCUCUUUGGGUACAGCCAAGAUCCCUGCCCACAGAUACAACAUACAACGCACACACAGUUGACAUACCCCACACCACACCAAACAUACUAUCAGUAUCUUCAGUCUUCAACAGCUCUCUCUCUCUCCUGGCUCCUUCCCACGGCUCCUUCCUGUGUUUCCACGUGUUCAAGUCUCUUUCAUCCUGAACUAAACAAACAACUUAGACCUUCCAUAGACCCGCCUCCUCUCUACUGCCCCAACUCUCUUUCAUCCUUCACAGACAUAUUUUUUUCUUUUAACCUGAUUUUAAAAUUUUACCAAUGUUAACUGCAGACACAUCAGUAUUUUUUAAUGUUU